AACGCGAAGAACCUUACCUGGGCUAGAAUGCGGUGGAUAAAUCUUAGAGAUAGGAUGAUCCGGGUAACCGGCUCCUGCCUGCAAGGUGCUGCAUGGCUGUCGUCGGCUCGUGUCGUGAGAUGUUGGGUUAAGUCCCGCGACGAGCGCAACCCUUACCGUGAGUUACCAUCAUUUAGUUGGGGACUCUCGCGGAACUGCCGGUGAUAAACCGGAGGAAGGUGGGGAUGACGUCAAGUCCUCAUGGCCUUUAUGUCCAGGGCUACACACGUGCUACAAUGGCUGGAACAAACCGUUGCAAAGUCGCAAGAUGGAGCUAAUCGGAAAAAACCAGUCUCAGUUCGGAUUGUAGUCUGCAACUCGACUACAUGAAGUUGGAAUCGCUAGUAAUCGCAGAUCAGCAUGCUGCGGUGAAUACGUUCCCGGGUCUGUACACACCG
rnacentral:rRNA from 1 species